rnacentral:rRNA from 1 species
GGGGGGGGCAAGCGUUGUUCGGAAUUACUGGGCGUAAAGGGCUCGUAGGCGGCCAACUAAGUCGGACGUGAAAUCCCUCGGCUUAACCGGGGAACUGCGUCCGAUACUGGAUGGCUUGAGUAUGGGAGAGGGAUGCGGAAUUCCAGGUGUAGCGGUGAAAUGCGUAGAUAUCUGGAGGAACACCGGUGGCGAAGGCGGCAUCCUGGACCAUUACUGACGCUGAGGAGCGAAAGCCAGGGGAGCAGACGGGAUUAGAUACCCCGGUAGUCCUGGCCCUAAACGAUGAAUGCUUGGUGUGGCGGGUAUCGAUCCCUGCCGUGCCGAAGCUAACGCAUUAAGCAUUCCGCCUGGGGAGUACGGUCGCAAGGCUG